rnacentral:tRNA from 1 species
GGGGGCGUAGCUCAGUCGGUAGAGCAACAGCCUUUUAAGCUGAUGGCCGUGGGUUCGAGUCCCACCGCCCCCACCA